rnacentral:rRNA from 1 species
GCCUACGGGACGCAGCAGUGAGGAAUAUUGGUCAAUGGGCGGGAGCCUGAACCAGCCAAGCCGCGUGAGGGAAGAAGGUACAGCGUAUCGUAAACCUCUUUUGUCAGGGAACAAAGGCGGGGACGUGUCCCCGGAUGAGUGUACCUGAAGAAAAAGCAUCGGCUAACUCCGUGCCAGCAGCCGCGGUAAUACGGAGGAUGCGAGCGUUAUCCGGAUUUAUUGGGUUUAAAGGGUGCGCAGGCGGUCUGUUAAGUCAGCGGUCAAAGCCCGGGGCUCAACCCCGGCCCGCCGUUGAAACUGGCAGG